GCGGUCUAAUAAGUUGGAAGUGAAAGCCUAUGGCUCAACCAUAGAACUGCUUCCAAAACUGUUAGACUAGAGUCUGGGAGGGGAAGAUGGAAUUAGUAGUGUAGGGGUAAAAUCCGUAGAGAUUACUAGGAAUACCAAAAGCGAAGGCGAUCUUCUGGAACAGUACUGACGCUGAGAUGCGAAAGCGUGGGGAGCAAACAGGAUUAGAUACCCUGGUAGUCCACGCAGUAAACGAUGAAUGUUAGUCGUUGGUAUCCUAGAGAUAUCAGUGAUGCAGUUAACACAUUAAACAUUCCGCCUGGGGAGUACGGUCGCAAGAUUAAAACUCAAAGGAAUAGACGGGGACCCGCACAAGUGGUGGAGCAUGUGGUUUAAUUCGAAGAUACGCGAAGAACCUUACCUAGCCUUGACAUAUUUUAGAAUUCACCAGAGAUGGAGGAGUGCCUUCGGGAGCUAAUAUACAGGUGCUGCACGGCUGUCGUCAGCUCGUGUCGUGAGAUGUUGGGUUAAGUCCCGCAACGAGCGCAACCCUCGUCACUAGUUACUAACGAUUCGGUCGAGGACUCUAGUGAGACUGCCUUCGUAAGGAGGAGGAAGGUGAGGACGACGUCAAGUCAUCAUGGCCCUUACGGCUAGGGCAACACACGUGCUACAAUGGUUAGGACAAUGAGAAGCAAUAUCGCGAGGUGGAGCAAAUCUAUAAACCUAAUCUCAGUUCGGAUUGUAGUCUGCAACUCGACUACAUGAAGCUGGAAUCACUAGUAAUCGUAGAUCAGCUAUGCUACGGUGAAUACGUUCCCGGGCCUUGUACACACCGCCG
rnacentral:rRNA from 1 species